AGAGAGUGCUGGAAGGAUCUAUGAACAAUAGAGAAAGAGACAAUAGAAAUUGGCUGGAUUUACCGUGUAUGAGCUGGACUGUUUUGGACUUACCUGUUGGUGUUUGGACCUGGACCUACUGAGAACCCGAUUUGUGUACCGAACCCUGCUAUCCUUGAUCUCGCCUACGGCCUGGGUGGACCAGGACUGAGAAACAAACACACAGUUACCCCCGCUCUGACUCUGGUCCCUGUCUCCAGUUCCACGUCUCGUCAUCCUGCUACUCUUUCCUGGAUUCUCCACUCUACUACUCCCUUGGAUUCCCCUCCGGACCUGCUUACCCUGUCCCAACUCCUCUCGCUCCAGCCUCAGCACCUGUUUUCCUGCAACCCAACCGAGCUUCCCCUGGCCUGCACUCCCUCUUCCCCCUGUGUUUAAAUAAAUACCUUGGUUACUUCA